rnacentral:rRNA from 1 species
GUUCCUACGGGACGCAGCAGUGAGGAAUAUUGGUCAAUGGGCGGAAGCCUGAACCAGCCAAGUCGCGUGAGGGAAUAAGGCCCUACGGGUCGUAAACCUCUUUUGCCGGGGAGCAAGGGCGGGGACGUGUCCCGGCCCGGAGAGUACCCGGAGAAAAAGCAUCGGCUAACUCCGUGCCAGCAGCCGCGGUAAUACGUAGGGAGCGAGCGUUGUCCAGAAUUACUGGGUGUAAAGGGAGCGUAGGCGGGACGGCAAGUCAGAUGUGAAAACUGAGGGCUCAACCUUCAGACUGCAUUUGAAACUGG